GUUUAUUCCUGAACGCUUACUAAAAUUGGUAUAAAACGCAGGAGACCAGCAUGACCCCUGCACAAAGAUGAGGCCUAAAUUAAGAAAUACGUUUCAAUUCACA
rnacentral:snRNA from 1 species